rnacentral:misc_RNA from 1 species
CGCACAUUGCGCCCCUUGGUAUUCCGGGGGGCAUGCCCGUUCGAGCGUCAUUACACCACUCCAGCCCCGCUGGGUGUUGGGCCCCGGGGGUGACCCGGGCCCGAAAGUCUUCGGCCGGACCGUCCGCACCGCAGCGUCGUGUAUUCUCAUCGCUGACGGGGGCGACGGUGCGUGUCCGUCAAAUUUUUUUUCACAGGUUGACCUCGGAUCGGGUAGGGAUACCCGCUGAACUUAA